UACAGAGGUCCCAAGCGUUGUUCGGAUUCACUGGGCGUAAAGGGUGCGUAGGCGGGUCUUUAAGUCAGGGGUGAAAUCCUGGAGCUCAACUCCAGAACUGCCUUUGAUACUGAGGAUCUUGAGUCCGGGAGAGGUGAGUGGAACUGCGAGUGUAGAGGUGAAAUUCGUAGAUAUUCGCAAGAACACCAGUGGCGAAGGCGGCUCACUGGCCCGGUACUGACGCUGAGGCACGAAAGCGUGGGGAGCGAACAGG
rnacentral:rRNA from 1 species